ACAUAUGAAUUUCGGCUUUAUAAAGGGAUAUGGAGAGCACAGCGGUUAGAAGUCAGGCUGGUCAUGAGCUGGUCCUGUCCUUCACUAGCCAUGGAACUUUCUAUGCCUCAGUUUCAACAACUGUAAAAUGGGAGUAGAAGACAGCUCCUGCCUCAUAGGGUUGUCAUGAAGAUUACAUGAGGCAGUGCACGUCGCACAGUUUUCCACACUCCUUGAUGGAGGUGCUUAAACCCUAUCCAUCAGCAUUCUUGGACAGCAUCUCCGGUUAGGGACAGUAUCUGACCAUCUGACAUCCCUGCACCCCCCAUACUGUCAGCCUCAGGUGGAUGGUUUCCUUAGAUGGUGGCUUUCUUUGGACCCUUGAUAUCAACCAGUUACUAUUUGGUCUUACUCUGUCAUCCACACUGGAGUGCAGCGCUGUGAUCAUGGCUUAU